rnacentral:rRNA from 1 species
AGAGUUUGAUCCUGGCUCAGGACGAACGCUGGCGGCGUGCCUAACACAUGCAAGUCGAGCGGGGCUGUGCGAAGCACAGAGAGCUUUGCAGUAAAGCAGUAAGGAGUUAUGAGUUAAGAGUUAUUAGUAUUAGAAGAAACACCGAAGGUGUUUCGCCAAUACUGGCAACUGACAACUGAAAACUGAUAACUGCUAAGCAAAGCGCUGUGUGCUUUGCACAUCCUAGCGGCGGACGGGUGAGUAACGCGUGAGCAACCUGCCUUUCAGUGGGGGAUAACGUCUCGAAAGGGACGCUAAUACCGCAUGAUAUAGCGAUAUCACAUGGUAACGCUAUCAAAGAUUUAUCGCUGAAAGAUGGGCUCGCGUCUGAUUAGCUGGUUGGUGAGGUAACGGCUCACCAAGGCGACGAUCAGUAGCCGAACUGAGAGGUUGAUCGGCCACAUUGGGACUGAGACACGGCCCAGACUCCUACGGGAGGCAGCAGUGGGGGAUAUUGCGCAAUGGGGGAAACCCUGACGCAGCAACGCCGCGUGAAGGAAGAAGGCCUUCGGGUUGUAAACUUUUGUCUUUGGGGACGAUAAUGACGGUACCCGAGGAGGAAGCCACGGCUAACUACGUGCCAGCAGCCGCGGUAAUACGUAGGUGGCGAGCGUUGUCCGGAUUUACUGGGUGUAAAGGGCGUGUAGGCGGGAUAGCAAGUCAGAUGUGAAAUACCAAGGCUUAACUUUGGGGGUGCAUUUGAAACUGUUAUUCUUGAGUGUCGGAGAGGGAAGCGGAAUUCCUAGUGUAGCGGUGAAAUGCGUAGAUAUUAGGAGGAACACCAGUGGCGAAGGCGGCUUUCUGGACGAUAACUGACGCUGAGGCGCGAAAGCGUGGGGAGCGAACAGGAUUAGAUACCCUGGUAGUCCACGCCGUAAACGAUGGAUACUAGGUGUAGGGGGUAUCGACCCCCCCUGUGCCGGAGUUAACACAAUAAGUAUCCCACCUGGGGAGUACGACCGCAAGGUUGAAACUCAAAGGAAUUGACGGGGGCCCGCACAAGCAGUGGAGUAUGUGGUUUAAUUCGAAGCAACGCGAAGAACCUUACCAGGGCUUGACAUCUGCCGAAUCCCAAGAGAUUGGGAGUGCCUUUUAGGAACGGCAAGACAGGUGGUGCAUGGUUGUCGUCAGCUCGUGUCGUGAGAUGUUGGGUUAAGUCCCGCAACGAGCGCAACCCUUAUUGUUAGUUGCCAUCAUUUAGUUGGGCACUCUAACGAGACUGCCGGUGACAAAUCGGAGGAAGGUGGGGACGACGUCAAAUCAUCAUGCCCCUUAUGUCCUGGGCUACACACGUACUACAAUGGCCGCAAACAACGGGAAGCGAAGCCGCGAGGCGGAGCAAAUCCCCAAAAGCGGUCCCAGUUCGGAUUGCAGGCUGAAACUCGCCUGCAUGAAGUCGGAAUUGCUAGUAAUCGCAGAUCAGCAUGCUGCGGUGAAUACGUUCCCGGGCCUUGUACACACCGCCCGUCACACCAUGAGAGUUGACAACACCCGAAGUCUGUAGCUUAACCGCAAGGAGGGCGCAGCCGAAGGUGGGGCCAAUGAUUAGGGUGAAGUCGUAACAAGGUAGCCGUAUCGGAAGGUGCGGCUG